rfam:Cryptococcus neoformans var. neoformans JEC21 chromosome 2 sequence.
AUCCGCAGCCAUAACCUUCAUACAACACCCUGUCACAUCCGAUCCAGGACGUUAAGUUGAAGAGCGCUAGGUUAGUAUCAUGGCUGGAACCGCUCGACAAAAAACGCAAACCACAGACA